AGGGAUAUAGCUCAGUGGUAGAGUGCUUGCCUAACAUGCACAAAGCCCUGGGUUCUACUGCCAGUAUCACAA
rnacentral:tRNA from 1 species